rnacentral:rRNA from 1 species
AACGAACGCUGGCGGCAGGCCUAACACAUGCAAGUCGAGCGAGGACUUCGGUCCUAGCGGCGGACGGGUGAGUAACGCGUGGGAACGUGCCCUUUGCUUCGGAAUAGCCCUGGGAAACUGGGAGUAAUACCGGAUGAGCCCUUUGGGGGAAAGAUUUAUCGGCGAAGGAUCGGCCCGCGUUGGAUUAGGUAGUUGGUGGGGUAAUGGCCUACCAAGCCGACGAUCCAUAGCUGGUUUGAGAGGAUGAUCAGCCACACUGGGACUGAGACACGGCCCAGACUCCUACGGGAGGCAGCAGUGGGGAAUCUUAGACAAUGGGGGAAACCCUGAUCUAGCCAUGCCGCGUGAGCGAUGAAGGCCUUAGGGUUGUAAAGCUCUUUCAGCUGGGAAGAUAAUGACGGUACCAGCGGAAGAAGCCCCGGCUAACUACGUG